rnacentral:rRNA from 1 species
AAGAGAAUGGAAUUUCAGAAAAAAACUUUUUUCAAGUUAAAAAUUGAAAUUUUUUUAAUUUGUGCAGAAACAAUUAUUAAUAUUAAGGACAAGAAGACCCUAUGAAUUUAUAAAUUUUAUUUAAUAUGUAACUACUAUUAAAAAAAUUUUAGCUGGGGCGGCGGAAAAAUAUUUAAAACUUUUUUAAAAUAAAAUGACCCAUUAUUAAUGAUUAUAUGUUAAAUACUCUAGGGAUAACAGCGUUAUAUUUUUUGAUAGAUCAUAUUGACAAAAAAGUUUGCGACCUCGAUGUUGGAUUAGGAUACUUUUUUAAUGCAGAUAUUAAAAAAAGAAGU